UACACUUAACCACUUUCAACUAACUAAGUAUUAAAAAAAAAACACAUUCAAAACACAAAAUUCCCUUUAAAGUCCCCACACUUAACCAUUUUCAACCAACUAAGUCACUUACCAAGCCACAUUCAAAACAAAAAAAUCUCCUUUAAAGUCCCUACACUUAACCAUUUUCAACCAACUAAGUAUCAAAACAAAACCACAUUCAAAACACAAAAUUCCCUUUAAAGUCCAUAAACUUAACCAUUUUCAACCAACUAAGUCACUUACCAGACC
rnacentral:lncRNA from 1 species